GACGAACGCUGGCGGCGUGCUUAACACAUGCAAGUCGAGCGGUAAGGCCCUUUCGGGGGUACGACGAGCGGCGAACGGGUGAGUAACACGUGGGUGACCUGCCCUCAGCUCUGGGAUAAGCCUGGGAAACUGGGUCUAAUACUGGAUAUGACUCCACGGUGCAUGUCGUGGGGUGGAAAGCCUUGUGCGGCUGAGGAUGGGCCCGCGGCCUAUCAGCUUGUUGGUGGGGUGAGGGCCUACCAAGGCGACGACGGGUAGCCGGCCUGAGAGGGCGACCGGCCACACUGGGACUGAGACACGGCCCAGACUCCUACGGGAGGCAGCAGUGGGGAAUCUUGCGCAAUGGGCGAAAGCCUGACGCAGCGACGCCGCGUGAGGGAUGACGGCCU
rnacentral:rRNA from 1 species